rnacentral:rRNA from 1 species
GACGAACGCUGGCGGCGUGCUUAACACAUGCAAGUCGAACGGAAAGGCCCUGCUUUCGUGGGGUGCUCGAGUAGCGAACGGGUGAGUAACACGUGAGUAACCUGCCCUUGACUUUGGGAUAACUUCAGGAAACUGGGGCUAAUACCGGAUAGGAGCGCCUGCUGCAUGGUGGGGGCUGGAUAGUUUCGGCGGUAGGGGAUGGACACGCGGCUUAUCGGCGUGUUGGUGGGGUAGUGGCUUACCAAGGCUUUGACGGGUAGCCGGCCUGGGAGGGUGACCGGCCACAUUGGGACUGAGAUACGGCCCAGACUCCUACGGGAGGCAGCAGUGGGGAAUAUUGCACAAUGGGCGGAAGCCUGAUGCAGCAACGCCGCGUGCGGGAUGACGGCCUUCGGGUUGUAAACCGCUUUCGCCUGUGACGAAGCGUGAGUGACGGUACUGGGUAAAGAAGCACCGGCUAACUACGUG